rnacentral:lncRNA from 1 species
GUCCACAGGAGGAAUUACUUCCGGAGGAGGAGUGAUGAGCUCCCUGUCGCAGAGAAAUCACACCGUGGUUUGUAACAAAUUCGGUUUCUAUUCCCGCCCCCGAAAUGCAAAGCAGAACACAAUAGGGAGUGUACCUGUUCUCCUAGCGGAUAGCAGCCCGAACGCCGGGAGCCCCGGUGCAGGGCCAGGCUCUGUCUGCAGCCCUGCAGUGGCGAGCCCUGCCAUGCCCAGCUCGUGACCUCAGGACCACGCCGAGACCACGCCGUGCAGCCUGCGCGCCUCACGUUUGCGAAGCAUUCCUGGAUUCCUCAUGCGCUCCCCGUGACUCAGCAUCCGCCUCAUUUGAACUAAAGCUGUUUUAAACCCAGGACACCUGGAAAGCUGCCUCAGCUAAGACGUCCUGCUUGGAUCCCCCCGCAGACCCGGGGCCGCUGGCAGGGAGUCCACCCUGCAACGUGAAUCACCAUUUAAAAUCAGGAUUUCACCUAAAACCGUGGCAGACACGCAUGGUUCCCCAUCCAGGAUCUAUUUCCCCUUAUUUUUUGGUUAUGAAUCCUGAUUUUAGACAGGGCAGAGAUGUACCAGCUAAAAGACUACAUUUCCCAGCCUCCCUUGUGGCAAAGGAAGACCGUGGGAUUCCCCAUAAGGUGGAAGUGGAGUGUUUUUUGUCACUUCCCUCCUCUCGGCUUCCUCCUUGGGAACUAGGAUGAGUGGCUGGCGCUCCAGCAGCCACCCUGAUCUACGAGUUCACCUUGACGAUGGAAAGCACGUGCUGGGAUGAUGCAGGAGGAAGGGAAGAAGCCCGAGUCUCCUUGGUGACUCCACGAAGCCAGGAAACUACAGCUGAACUACCUGCCUCCUGACUUUGUUUCUAUGUGGCUAAAAAAAAAACAGUCAGCUGCUUCCUUACGUGAACCACCGUACUGGUGGGUGUUUUCUCUUUCACGUAGCGGAUCUAGUCCUGAGACACUGCUUCUCCUGAAAAAUCACAGUAUCUAGUAAGCUGGAUAUUUACUUUAUAACAAGUCUGUA